GAAAGGAACGCAAUAGAACAGAAUUAAUCAAAACGGGAGGCCAGGAGGAGGAGGAGGACAGGAGGGGAAAAUUGCUGGCGGGGAAGGCUUUUCCUGGUCACUGCUGUGAAAAUUAACCAGGGGUUGAAGCUACCUCAUUUUAAUUAAGUGGGCUGCCUAAAGCCUGGCCCCAACAUGAAUUUCAAGGUCACCAUGGGUGUUGUGAGAGCUUACUGCCUAAUUCACAUCUGGGAGUGGCGGGCUAGUUCUUGCCCUUCCUUUCCAUCUCUGCUCUGUUGUGACCUGAGGCGUGAAGGGGAGGCUGGGUGGCCCUGCCCUGUGCCCCUUCCAACCUCUAGACACACUCCACUCCUUCUCUCCAGUGCUGUGAACACCUCAGGGCUGGGAAGGGGCCUGGGCCCCCACUGGGACCUGCAGAAAGCACCAUUUGACUAACCAUGCCCUUCCCGCCUUUCUGCUCUUUACAGAAUGGGUUGAAUGGCUUGCAUCUGGCUUCUAA
rnacentral:lncRNA from 1 species